GACAGAGGUGCCAAGCGUUAGGCGGAAUCACUGGGCUUAAAGCGUGUGUAGGCGGUCUUGUAAGUACCUUGUGAAAUCCCACGGCUCAACCGUGGAACUGCUUGGUAUACUGCUUGUCUUGAGCCACUUAGGGGCUACCGGAACAAAUGGUGGAGCGGUGAAAUGCGUAGAUAUCAUUUGGAACGCCAAUGGUGAAAACAGGUAGCUGGGAGUGUGCUGACGCUGAGACACGAAAGCCAGGGGAGCGAACGGG
rnacentral:rRNA from 1 species